GUAAGAAAACACAAGUUACAGGGACUUAAAUGAGUCCGAAAGGUUCUGCCUUCUAAUACGCAGUUCGUCACUCUGUAGUCAAUGAUAUGAAUGGACUUCAACAACUGUUCUAUGGGUUCAACCAGGUGAUGUAGUGAGAGAAAGAGCUGUUCUAUGGGUUCAACCAGGUGAUGUAGUGAGAGAUAGAGCUGUUCUAUGGGGUUCAACCAGGUGAUAGUUGAGAGAAAGAGCUGUUCUAUGGGGUUCAACCAGGUGAUAGUUGAGAGAAAGAGCUGUUCUAUGGGGUUCAACCAGGUGAUAGUUGAGAGAAAGAGCUGUUCUAUGGGGUUCAACCAGGUGAUAGUUGAGAGAAAGAGCUGUUCUAUGGGUUCAACCAGGUGAUGUAGUGAGAGAAAGAGCUGUUCUAUGGGUUCAACCAGGUGAUGUAGUGAGAGAAAGAGCUUUUCUAUGGGUUCAACCAGGUGAUGUAGUGAGAGAAAGAGCUGUUCUAGGGGUUCAAUCAGGUGAUAGUUGAAAGAAAGAGAUGUUCUAUGGGUUCAACCAGGUGAUAGUUGAGAGAAAGAGCUGUUCUGUGGGUUCAACCAGGUGAUAGUUGAAAGAAAGAGCUGUUCUAUGGGGUUCAACCAGGUGAUGUAGUGAGAGAAAGCGCUGUUCUAUGGGUUCAACCAGGUGAUGUGGUGAGAGAAAGAGCUGUUCUAUGGGUUCAACCAGGUGAUAGUUGAGAGAAAGAGCUGUUCUAUGGGUUCAACCAGGUGAUAGUUGAGGAAAAAGGGCUGUUCUAUGGGUUCAACCAGGUGAUGUAGUUAGAUAAAGAGCUGUUCUAUGGGUUCAACCAGGUGAUAGUUGAGAGAAAGAGCUGUUCUGUGGGUUCAACCAGGUGAUAGUUGAGAGAAAGAGCUGUUCAACCAGGUGAUAGUUGAGAGAAAGAGCUGUUCUAUUGGGUUCAACCAGGUGAUAGUUGAGAGAAAGAGCUGUUCUAUGGGUUCAACCAGGUGAUGUAGUGAGAGAAAGAGCUGUUCUAUGGGUUCAACCAGGUGAUGUAGUGAGAGAAAGAGAUGUUCAAAUGUGGACCUAGAAGGCAGAGACAAGCCAACCCCCGAUAUCAUUUGGGGGCCUUUAAGGGGGUACAUUAGGGGAGAGAUAGUCCAACCCCCGAUAUCAUUUGGGAGGCCUUUAAGGGGGUACAUUAGGGGAGAGAUAAUCCAACCCCCGUUAUCAUUAGGGGAGGCCUUUAAGGGGGUACAUUAGGGGAGAGAUAAUCCAACCCCCGUUAUCAUUAGGGGAGGCCUUUAAGGGGGUACAUUAGGGGAGAGAUAAUCUCAUACUCAACUAAAGUUACAUCUGAUUUAGAAAUUUAAAUGAAAUAAAAAGACCAAAUAAAUCACUAUUUUAACAAAAAUCUUUACAAGGUUAAGAAGAAAAU
rnacentral:lncRNA from 1 species